rnacentral:rRNA from 1 species
GUGGGGAAUCUUGCGCAAUGGGCGAAAGCCUGACGCAGCCAUGCCGCGUGAAUGAUGAAGGUCUUAGGAUUGUAAAAUUCUUUCACCGGGGACGAUAAUGACGGUACCCGGAGAAGAAGCCCCGGCUAACUUCGUGCCAGCAGCCGCGGUAAUACGAAGGGGGCUAGCGUUGCUCGGAAUUACUGGGCGUAAAGGGCGCGUAGGCGGACAGUUAAGUUGGGGGUGAAAGCCCGGGGCUCAACCUCGGAACUGCCUUCAAUACUGGCUGUCUUGAGUAUGAGAGAGGUGUGUGGAACUCCGAGUGUAGAGGUGAAAUUCGUAGAUAUUCGGAAGAACACCAGUGACGAAGGCGACACACUGGCUCAUUACUGACGCUGAGGCGCGAAAGCGUGGGGAGCAAACAGGAUUAGAUACCCGUGUAGUCC